CCCCAGGAGGGUUGCAUGUCGGCAGCAGCGCAAGUGCCUCUCCAACGCAUCAAAUAGGACCCUUCGUAGCCGUCGCAUCGCCGGGUGGAGAUAACUCAUCAGCAGCAGCAUCUUAGUUUUUGCUUACUGCAAGACGAAGGCCUCUGCCAACCAUAUCCGGUCACCCAAGUCCUAGCGAGCACGUGAAUCGACAGAAAAAUCACUCCGGUUUGCAAGGCGCCAGCCGAGUAAGUCAUUGCGUCAA